rnacentral:rRNA from 1 species
UUUCUGGAGGAAGGUUCGUCCGCUCCAGGUUAGUCGGGAGCUAAGGUGAGGCCUAACGGCGUAGCCGAUGCACAGACGGUAGAGAUUCCGUCACCACCAAAAGAGUUAAACACAGGGACACAUAUGAAGUCUCGGAGCCGGGUGUUGGUUCCGGUAGCGAUCGAGGGAAGUUAGUACCGAAGUCCGGGAUGGAAGAUGGCGAGAAAAGCUGUGUGUAUUUCUGCGGUGCCCGUACCGCAAACCGACACAGGUAGGUAGGAAGAAGAUUCUAAGGCCAACGGGAGAAGGGUUGUUAAGGAACUCGGCAAAUUGACCCCGUAACUUCGGGAGAAGGGGUGCUCCAGAGAUGGAGCCGCAGAGAAUCGGCCCAAGCAACUGUUUACCAAAAACACAGGUUUGUGCUAAAUCGAAAGAUGACGUAUACGAGCUGACGCCUGCCCGGUGCUGGAAGGUUAAGAGGAGAUGUGCAAGCAUUGAAUCGAAGCCCCAGUGAACGGCGGCCGUAACUAUAACGGUCCUAAGGUAGCGAAAUUCCUUGUCAGGUAAGUUCUGACCCGCACGAAUGGCGUAACGAUUUGGGCACUGUCUCAACAGCCCGCCCGGCGAAAUUGUAGUACCGGUGAAGAUGCCGGUUACCCGCGACAAGACGGAAAGACCCCAUGGAGCUUUACUGUAGCCUAAUAUUGGGUUUCGAUGUUGCAUGCACAGGAUAGAUGGGACACUGGGAAGCAAGAGCUUUGGCUUUUGUGGAGUGGCCGUUGGGAUACCAUCCUUGCGAUAUUGGAAUUCUAACCUGCGCCUUUGAAUCAAGGCGGGGGACAUUGUUAGGUGGGCAGUUUGACUGGGGCGGUCGCCUCCUAAAGAGUAACGGAGGCGUUCAAAGGUUCGCUCAGCUUGAACGGAAAUCAAGCAAAAGAGUGCAAACGCAGAAGCGAGCCUAACUGCGAGACUGACGGGUCGAGCAGUAACGAAAGUUGGAGUUAGUGAUCCGGCGGUAUGUGAGUGGAAAUGCCGUCGCUCAACGGAUAAAAGCUACCCUGGGGAUAACAGGCUGAUCUCCCCCAAGAGUCCACAUCGACGGGGAGGUUUGGCACCUCGAUGUCGGCUCAUCGCAUCCUGGGGCUGUAUUCGGUCCCAAGGGUUUGGCUGUUCGCCAAUUAAAGCGGUACGCGAGCUGGGUUCAGAACGUCGUGAGACAGUUCGGUCCCUAUCUGUCGUGGGCGCAGGAUAUUUGAUGGGAGCUGUUCCUAGUACGAGAGGACCGGAGCGGACGUACCUCUGGCGCACCAGUUGUUCUGCCAAGGGCAUAGCUGGGCAACUAUGUACGGAUCGGAUAAACGCUGAAAGCAUCUAAGCGUGAAGCCGACCCAAAGAUAAGAUAUCCCAUUGUUUCAAACAAGUAAGACCCCUUGAAGACUACAAGGUUGAUAGGCACGAUGUGUAAGUGGAGUGAUCCAUUCAGCAAGCGUGUACUAAUAGGUCGAGGGCUUGACCA